UUUUUUGGAGACAGUGUCUUGCCCUGUCACCCAGGCUGGAGUGCAGUGGUGUGAUCUUGGUUCACUGCAGCCUCGACUUCCUGGGUUCAAGUGAUCCUUCUGCCUCAGCCUCCCAAAUAGCUGGGACUAUAGGCAUGCAUCACCACACCCAGCUAAUUUCUGUAUUUUUUGUAGAGACACCGUUUCACCAUGUUGCCCAGGCUGGUCUCAAAACUCCUGUGCUCAAGCAGUCUGCCCGCCUUGGCUUCCCAAAGUGCUGACAUUACAGGUAUGAGCCACUGCACCCGGUCCCUAGUAGGGUAUUUUUAACUUGGCAAAAAGGGUAUUAAUCAGAAACAUACACUAUCCAUCACUGAGUAUUAUACUCUUGAUUUUGCAAUGUAAGAGUUUUAACCUAUUUGUCUGACAGAAGGUGUAAAAGUGCUGGACAUGCUGCAGAAAGAAACAGGAAAAGCAUCUUGCUGCACUCCAAAGAAUGCAAAUUUUAAUGUGCCUUCCAAUAAAUGCAAGGAAACCGAAAGAGUUAAUAGUAUCAUACAAUGACUGGGAUGUAUUGAUAAUGCUACAGUGAUCCAUUAACAGCACUUGUUCAGUUCUUAAGUCCAAGACCAAGGUAUCAGCAUCUGGUGAAGGCCUUCUUGCUGUGUCACAAAUGGGGACAUCACAUGGCUAGAGGGCAAGAGUGCUGGGAAUGCAACUGGAUGACAGCCUUCACCCAUCAACCCUCUAUGGGAAUUGUCCUGAGCUGAAGGGAGCCACCUUAUCCAAGACCACUCUCUUUUCCUGGGGAUAGCCUGCCUCUCAUAUCUGGUUUUUUUCUUCUACUACACAGCUGUGUAGUUCCGUUAUGGCUUUAUCUCCAUCAACAGCAAUGCCUAGGAGGGAGUCAAACAGAUUCCAAGUGAGAAAAGGAGUUAACAUGCCAUUGCUGCUUUGAAGAUGGAAGGAGCCUGUGGCGAGGAUAUGAAGGGCCUCUAGAAGCUGUGAGCAGCCCCCAGCUCACAGCCAGCAAGCAAACAAGGACCUCAGCUCAGCAACAGCAAGGACGUGAAUCCUGCCAAUAACAGAAAUGAGCUUGAAAGAAGACACCAAGCUCCAGGUAAGAAAGCAGCCAGCCAACACUUAGAGCCUUGUGAAACUCUAAGCAGAGAACCCACCCAUGCUAUUCUAGACUUCUGACUACAGAACUGUGAGAUAUUAAA
rnacentral:lncRNA from 1 species